CCUACGGGAGGCAGCAGUGGGGAAUAUUGCACAAUGGGGGGAACCCUGAUGCAGCAACGCCGCGUGGGUGAAGAAGUACUCCGGUAUGUAAAGCCCUGUCAGCAGGGAAGAAAAUGACGGUACCUGACCAAGAAGCCCCGGCUAACUACGUGCCAGCAGCCGCGGUAAUACGUAGGGGGCAAGCGUUAUCCGGAUUUACUGGGUGUAAAGGGAGCGUAGACGGUUAUGCAAGUCUGAAGUGAAAGCCCAAGGCUCAACCAUGGGACUGCUUUGGAAACUGUUUUUCUUGAGUGCUGGAGAGGCAAUCGGAAUUCCGUGUGUAGCGGUGAAAUGCGUAGAUAUACGGAGGAACACCAGUGGCGAAGGCGGAUUGCUGGACAGUAACUGACGCUGAGGCGCGAAAGCGUGGGGAGCAAACAGGAUUAGAUACCCUUGUAGUC
rnacentral:rRNA from 1 species